GGCUCACCUAGGCGACGAUCCCUAGCUGGUCUGAGAGGAUGACCAGCCACACUGGAACUGAGACACGGUCCAGACUCCUACGGGAGGCAGCAGUGGGGAAUAUUGCACAAUGGGCGCAAGCCUGAUGCAGCCAUGCCGCGUGUGUGAAGAAGGCCUUCGGGUUGUAAAGCACUUUCAGCGGGGAGGAAGGCGUUAAGGUUAAUAACCUUGGCGAUUGACGUUACCCGCAGAAGAAGCACCGGCUAACUCCGUGCCAGCAGCCGCGGUAAUACGGAGGGUGCAAGCGUUAAUCGGAAUUACUGGGCGUAAAGCGCACGCAGGCGGUCUGUCAAGUC
rnacentral:rRNA from 1 species